rnacentral:rRNA from 1 species
CCCUUAGAUGUUCUGGGCCGCACGCGCGCUACACUGAUGCAUUCAACAAGCCUAGCCUUGACCGAGAGGUCCGGGUAAUCUUUGAAACUGCAUCGUGAUGGGGCUAGAUUAUUGCAAUUAUUAAUCUUCAACGAGGAAUGCCUAGUAAGCGUGAUUCAUCAAAUCGCGUUGAUUACGUCCCUGCCCUUUGUACACACCGCCCGUCGCUCCUACCGAUUGAAUGUGUUGGUGAGGAGCUCGGAUUGGCAGCAGUUGGUGGUUCGCCACCGGCUAUUGCUGAGAAGUCCUCCAAACCUCCCCAUUUAGAGGAAGGAGAAGUCGUAACA